UCGUUCAAUUUUUGGCGAUAUCGUAACCAAUGAGGUUCUACCGAGGUGCGAUUUUUGCUAGUUGAAAACUUUUACCAAUACCCCGCCAUGACGAUGUGAAAAAUCAUCGGCUACGGCAAUUUUUGAUCAUUAAGGCG
rnacentral:snRNA from 1 species